GCACUAGUAUCUCAGCUUUCAAAGCGUCG
rnacentral:tRNA from 1 species